UAGGUGACACAGGAGACGAAGGGGACCAGGGGCCCAUUGGUGAAUCGAUGCCAGGACGUAAAGGUCAAAAAGGAUCUUGUAGUUGCUAAUUCACUGUGCUCAGUUUUAUUUACAAUGACUGGCUUAUCAAAUAUACAAUGAUACAUUAAAAUAAAAAUAAGAUAUAAUCAAUAAA
rnacentral:sRNA from 1 species